AUUGAACGCUGGCGGCAUGCUUUACACAUGCAAGUCGAACGGUAACAGGCCGCAAGGUGCUGACGAGUGGCGAACGGGUGAGUAAUGCAUCGGAACGUGCCCCGUCGUGGGGGAUAACUACUCGAAAGAGUAGCUAAUACCGCAUACGAUCUAUGGAUGAAAGCGGGGGACCGUAAGGCCUCGCGCGCUUGGAGCGGCCGAUGUCAGAUUAGGUAGUUGGUGGGGUAAAGGCUCACCAAGCCAACGAUCUGUAGCUGGUCUGAGAGGACGACCAGCCACACUGGGACUGAGACACGGCCCAGACUCCUACGGGAGGCAGCAGUGGGGAAUUUUGGACAAUGGGCGCAAGCCUGAUCCAGCAAUGCCGCGUGCAGGAAGAAGGCCUUCGGGUUGUAAACUGCUUUUGUACGGAACGAAACGGCUCUGGUUAAUACCCGGGGCUAAUGACGGUACCGUAAGAAUAAGCACCGGCUAACUACGUG
rnacentral:rRNA from 1 species